UUUAGAGUUUUGAAUCAUGGCUCAGGACGAACGCUGGCGGCGUGCCUAAUACAUGCAAGUCGAGCGGACAGAUGGGAGCUUGCUCCCUGAUGUUAGCGGCGGACGGGUGAGUAACACGUGGGUAACCUGCCUGUAAGACUGGGAUAACUCCGGGAAACCGGGGCUAAUACCGGAUGCUUGUUUGAACCGCAUGGUUCAAACAUAAAAGGUGGCUUCGGCUACCACUUACAGAUGGACCCGCGGCGCAUUAGCUAGUUGGUGAGGUAAUGGCUCACCAAGGCAACGAUGCGUAGCCGACCUGAGAGGGUGAUCGGCCACACUGGGACUGAGACACGGCCCAGACUCCUACGGGAGGCAGCAGUAGGGAAUCUUCCGCAAUGGACGAAAGUCUGACGGAGCAACGCCGCGUGAGUGAUGAAGGUUUUCGGAUCGUAAAGCUCUGUUGUUAGGGAAGAACAAGUACCGUUCGAAUAGGGCGGUACCUUGACGGUACCUAACCAGAAAGCCACGGCUAACUACGUGCCAGCAGCCGCGGUAAUACGUAGGUGGCAAGCGUUGUCCGGAAUUAUUGGGCGUAAAGGGCUCGCAGGCGGUUCCUUAAGUCUGAUGUGAAAGCCCCCGGCUCAACCGGGGAGGGUCAUUGGAAACUGGGGAACUUGAGUGCAGAAGAGGAGAGUGGAAUUCCACGUGUAGCGGUGAAAUGCGUAGAGAUGUGGAGGAACACCAGUGGCGAAGGCGACUCUCUGGUCUGUAACUGACGCUGAGGAGCGAAAGCGUGGGGAGCGAACAGGAUUAGAUACCCUGGUAGUCCACGCCGUAAACGAUGAGUGCUAAGUGUUAGGGGGUUUCCGCCCCUUAGUGCUGCAGCUAACGCAUUAAGCACUCCGCCUGGGGAGUACGGUCGCAAGACUGAAACUCAAAGGAAUUGACGGGGGCCCGCACAAGCGGUGGAGCAUGUGGUUUAAUUCGAAGCAACGCGAAGAACCUUACCAGGUCUUGACAUCCUCUGACAAUCCUAGAGAUAGGACGUCCCCUUCGGGGGCAGAGUGACAGGUGGUGCAUGGUUGUCGUCAGCUCGUGUCGUGAGAUGUUGGGUUAAGUCCCGCAACGAGCGCAACCCUUGAUCUUAGUUGCCAGCAUUCAGUUGGGCACUCUAAGGUGACUGCCGGUGACAAACCGGAGGAAGGUGGGGAUGACGUCAAAUCAUCAUGCCCCUUAUGACCUGGGCUACACACGUGCUACAAUGGACAGAACAAAGGGCAGCGAAACCGCGAGGUUAAGCCAAUCCCACAAAUCUGUUCUCAGUUCGGAUCGCAGUCUGCAACUCGACUGCGUGAAGCUGGAAUCGCUAGUAAUCGCGGAUCAGCAUGCCGCGGUGGAAUACGUUCCCGGGGCCUUGUACACACCGCCCGUCACACCACGAGAGUUUGUAACACCCGAAGUCGGUGAGGUAACCUUUAUGGAGCCAGCCGCCGAAGGUGGGACAGAUGAUUGGGGUGAAGUCGUAACAGGGUUAACCGUA
rnacentral:rRNA from 1 species